rnacentral:rRNA from 1 species
AUUGGACGCUGGCGGCAUGCCUUACACAUGCAAGUCGAACGGCAGCGCGGACUUCGGUCUGGCGGCGAGUGGCGAACGGGUGAGUAAUGUAUCGGAACGUACCAUUCAGUGGGGGAUAACGCAGCGAAAGUUGCGCUAAUACCGCAUAUUCUGUGCGCAGGAAAGCAGGGGAUCGCAAGACCUUGCGCUGAUUGAGCGGCCGAUAUCAGAUUAGCUAGUUGGUGAGGUAAAGGCUCACCAAGGCGACGAUCUGUAGCGGGUCUGAGAGGAUGAUCCGCCACACUGGAACUGAGACACGGUCCAGACUCCUACGGGAGGCAGCAGUGGGGAAUUUUGGACAAUGGGCGCAAGCCUGAUCCAGCCAUGCCGCGCGAGUGAAGAAGGCCUUCGGGUUGUAAAGCUCUUUCGGCCGGGAAGAAAUCGUAUGGGUUAAUACCCUGUGCGGAUGACGGUACCGGCAUAAGAAGCACCGGCUAACUACGUGCCAGCAGCAGCCGCGGUAA